AUUGAACGCUGGCGGCAUGCCUUACACAUGCAAGUCGAACGGCAGCAUGAUCUCGCUUGCUAGAUUGAUGGCGAGUGGCGCACGGGUGAGUAAUACAUCGGAACGUGCCCUGUAGUGGGGGAUAACUAGUCGAAAGAUUAGCUAAUACCGCAUACGACCUGAGGGUGAAAGUGGGGGACCGCAAGGCCUCAUGCUAUAGGAGCGGCCGAUGUCUGAUUAGCUAGUUGGUGAGGUAAAGGCUCACCAAGGCGACGAUCAGUAGCUGGUCUGAGAGGACGAUCAGCCACACUGGGACUGAGACACGGCCCAGACUCCUACGGGAGGCAGCAGUGGGGAAUUUUGGACAAUGGGCGAAAGCCUGAUCCAGCAAUGCCGCGUGUGUGAAGAAGGCCUUCGGGUUGUAAAGCACUUUUGUCCGGAAAGAAAUGGCUCUGGUUAAUACCUGGGGUCGAUGACGGUACCGGAAGAAUAAGGACCGGCUAACUACGUG
rnacentral:rRNA from 1 species